rnacentral:rRNA from 1 species
GAUCCUGGCUCAGAACGAACGCUGGCGGCAGGCUUAACACAUACAAGUUGAACGGGAUUGUUAAGUAGCUUGCUAUUUAACAAGAGAGUAGCGCACUGGUGAGUAACACGUGGGAACGUACCUUUUGGUGGGGGACAACAUCUGGAAACGGAUGCUAAUACCGCAUAAGACCUGAGGGUGAAAGAUUUAUCGCCGAAAGAACGGCCCGCGGAAGAUUAGGCAGUUGGUGGUGUAAAGACCUACCAAACCUACGAUCUAUAG